AGGGAAACGGGAAUGAGGGCAUAACUGGCCCUGCAGAGCUCAGAAAGCUCCCUCAGAAACAAGGGCACAGCAUUUCACCGCCUCGGUCCUUCAGUCCAGCUCUCUGAACUCCUGGUAUAAAGUGAUGCGUAUUGAAAGUACCAAACCAAAAGAGCAUCACUAAAGCAGGGAAGUUUACUGCACAUGAAUGCUUCGAUCCAGAGAGGGCAAGAGAAAUGUGAGACAGGAUUUAAUCAUGUCAGUCCCGUGCUUCAGCAGCACAGCCCUCAGAUUCUUUAAUAAUACCAAGGAAGUAUCUUUCAUGUGAUUCCUGACUGAAUAAGAAGCUUGAAGGAAACGGGUGCAACAACAAGGUAAAGGGUUUAUUGAUUAAUAUGGGGCAUAUCUUAAAAAUGAUAUGAGAUCUCUGAAUCUUUCAAC
rnacentral:lncRNA from 1 species